GGAAGGACGUCAUUAGACGGAAGAGGAAGGAAAGUGUGUUUGAAACUAAAAUUGCUAGUAACAACCAGCAUCAAACGUAACAUUGCUUGUCAAAUGGAUAUCAUUUCUCGUUAUGGUUUGUAGUUAUGCUGGCUUUGCUUCUGCUGUCUUUCUACAACAUCCGAAGUUUCCCUGGCACACAAACGUACUUGUUUCAUUUCGAAUGCUAAGCCGGACAGGAAAAUGGUCCAAUUCACACACUGAUCAAGACAACAUCCCUGGUCGUCCCUACUGCCUCUGAUCUGGAGGACUCACUAAACAGAGAACAUCCCUGGUCAUCCCUACUGCCUCUGAUCUGGAGGACUCACUAAACAGAGAACAUCCCUGGUCAUCCCUACUGCCUCUGAUCUGGAGGACUCACUAAACAGAGAACAUCCCUGGUCAUCCCUACUGCCUCUGAUCUGGAGGACUCACUAAACAGAGAACAUCCCUGGUCAUCCCUACUGCCUCUGAUCUGGAGGACUCACUAAACAGAGAACAUCCCUGGUCAUCCCUACUGCCUCUGAUCUGGAGGACUCACUAAACAGAGAACAUCCCUGGUCAUCCCUACUGCCUCUGAUCUGGAGGACUCACUAAACAGAGAACAUCCCUGGUCAUCCCUACUGCCUCUGAUCUGGAGGACUCACUAAACACAUGCUUCAUUUGUAAAUGAUGUCUGAUUGUUGGAGUGUUCCCCUGGUUAUUUCUUAAAUAAAAUGACAAGAGAAUCGUGCUGUCUGGUUUGCUUAAUAUAUGGAAGGUCAAAUCAUUUAUACUUUUACCACUGAUACUUAAGUAUAUUUUAGCAAUGACGUUUACUUAGUAUUUUACUGGGUGACUUUCACUUUUACUUGAGUCAUUUUCUAUUAACAUCGUCUUAUUAUUGUACCUUUUUCCCUUCAUUUGCCUACUACUGUCUAUAAGCUGUCAUAACAUGUGGGUUUUUUCAUGGGGACCAGGUAUCGGAACGCCUUUGAAGGGUCUACAAAGCCCCCAGGUAAAAGUUGGCUUUUGCAGACAAGGAUUGUAUUGUUACUCCACGACAUAAUAUGUUAUCACAACUCUAUUAAAAGGACAUUCUACACAAGGUGUCACUUCAUUCCUUCUAUUUGAUGGGAACUCCUGGUUAGGAAUGGGGAACGAGUGCUCUCUCUCUGGGGAAAAAACAUGUUUAUACCUAUGCAGUACCUUUAGCAUUAAUAAUAAUAAACCUCUACUUUAGUAAAGUUAAUAAUUAUGACAGGUGUGUUGUAAUAAAAAUGAGUGGUGUCCACUGACUAAAUGCAGUCUUUCUGGAAAACCCAGAUAUUCACAAAGUGUUUGAUGAAUGACACAUUGCUUCUUCAUGCAAAAUAGAUUUGACCUUUAAAAUUCAAUUAAGCUGCUUUAUUUUCAGGGUUUAGUGAAGGUGGGUCAUUUUUUACCCUUGGGACAAUGGGAGUAAACAGACUGCUAAGACUACACAAGGGUUAAGUCAAGUAUUUACAAGGUGUCUAGUCAUUUCUGGUGGUUAAUGUCUAAUUGACCACACAUUAGUGCAAGUUGAAGUGUUGUCAGUGCUACACAGGUGUCUGUAGUCUAGGUGCUCGUUAUAAGUGCUUGAAAUCAUUUAUUGCCGUGUUCCAGAGCAUCAAGUCUGUGAUCGAAGGGUGAAUUGUGACUGAAUUACUGAGCUACAAAUAAUAUGAAGUAGUUAUUUAUAAGUCAAGGUUACUCUACAUCACUCUCGACUCGCCUUAAAAGUCAUCUGCAAUGUGGAACGUCCAACAAUUCAUUGACACAGUUGUGACUGACUCCUUCAUAGCCGUCGGCCAGCUCUUUCACAUCCACCAUCUAAUUGAAGUGAAAGGACGUGACCCUCCAAUCUAAAAUGUGACUUAU